AGAGUUUGAUUAUGGCUCAGGAUGAACGCUGGCGGCGUGCCUAAUACAUGCAAGUCGAACGAGGAGCCCUGACACGAGUAUUCGUACGAGUAGAUGGGAUUUCCUAGUGGCGAACGGGUGAGUAACGCGUUGGUGACCUGCCUCGAAGUGUGGAAUAACUCCGGGAAACUGGAGCUAAUACCUCAUAUGGUCAGUGGAUUUAGAAACCACUGUCUAAAGGUCUUCGGAUCGCUUCGAGAGGGGCCUGCGUCCCAUCAGCUAGUUGGUAGGGUAAUGGCCUACCAAGGCGACGACGGGUAGGGGACCUGAGAGGGUGAUCCCCCACAAUGGAACUGAAACACGGUCCAUACACCUACGGGUGGCAGCAGUAGGGAAUAUUGCACAAUGGGCGAAAGCCUGAUGCAGCAACGCCGCGUGUGCGAUGAAGGCCUUCGGGUCGUAAAGCACUUUUCUGAGGGAAGAGGAAGGACGGUACCUCAGGAAUAAGUCUCGGCUAACUACGUGCCAGCAGCCGCGGUAACACGUAGGAGGCAAGCGUUAUCCGGAUUUACUGGGCGUAAAGCGCGUGCAGGCGGUUUGGUAAGUUGGAUGUGAAAGCUCCCGGCUCAACUGGGAGAGGCCGUUCAAUACUGCCAGACUAGAGGACGGUAGAGGAAGGUAGAAUUCCUGGUGUAGUGGUGAAAUGCGUAGAUAUCAGGAGGAAUACCAGUGGCGAAAGCGGCCUUCUGGGCCGUUCCUGACGCUAAGACGCGAAAGCAUGGGUAGCAAACGGGAUUAGAAACCCCGGUAGUCCAUGCCGUAAACGAUGCAAACUAGGUGUUGGUGGUGUAAAAG
rnacentral:rRNA from 1 species